rnacentral:rRNA from 1 species
GAUGAACGCGUGGCGGCGUGCUUAACACAUGCAAGUCGAACGAAGCACCUUGAUUUGAUUCUUCGGAUGAAGAUCUUGGUGACUGAGUGGCGGACGGGUGAGUAACGCGUGGGUAACCUGCCUCAUACAGGGGGAUAACAGUUAGAAAUGACUGCUAAUACCGCAUAAGACCACAGCACCGCAUGGUGCAGGGGCAAAAACUCCGGUGGUAUGAGAUGGACCCGCGUCUGAUUAGCUAGUUGGUAAGGUAACGGCUUACCAAGGCGACGAUCAGUAGCCGGUCUGAGAGGAUGAACGGCCACAUUGGGACUGAGACACGGCCCAAA